GUGAUGAUGGUGAUGGUGAUGAUGAUGAUGGUGAUGAUGAUGAUGAUGGUGAUGAUGAUGAUGAUGAUGAUAGUGAUCGUGAUGAUGAUGGUGAUGAUGGUGAUGAUGAUGAUGAUUGCACAUAUAAUUAUUAUUUAACAUCACACAACACAUGCUGUAGUGUGUGUUAGACCCUUAAGGGUUAUUCUGUUGUCCAUCUGGUGGAACCUUUUAAUAGUUCUACUUAGAACCCUACAGCAAAAUGUUUUCUUAUCAGAAACCUUUGUUUUGGAAGCUGCUAAGAAUCCUUUACAUUUUCUCUCAUUAUUUUCUUCUCAAUAACUAGGACCUGUCUAGAAGCUUCUUGGUACUUGGUACACUCUUCAAGAGUUCUUUCAGGGUUCUUAACUUCCUAAAAGAGUUCUACCCGGUACAAUUCUAAAGUAGAAACGGCAGUGAAUGUGGUGUCUCACUUCCACUCGCACUUUUCCUCACUUCUCCACACACACAAACACUCGCACACACACACACACACACACAUUGCACACGUUGCCCAGCCUCAUAGAGAAAUCUGUACAUUACUCAGAACCUGUUCACUGCCGACAGUCGAGUUCAUUUUGUUCUGUCGUCGUGUUUUUUUUUCUCUUGUUCGGUUCUUUGUGAAAUCAUUUUGAAUGCGUUAUACAAACUGCUCGGCUUUCUUUACUUUCAGAGCUUUAAACUUGUUUUGUUUUUGUUUUUUGGUUUCACGUGAUCACGUCUCGCUCGAUGCUCUCUCAGACUUCUCACCAAAGUCCCGACCCGAAGCUGAGCGUCUGAAUCCGAGCUUAUUUAUCCGUUUGUAUCCUUUCUGCAGGUUUCCUGCUUUCUUUUCAGCGAGGAAUCUGACCUGGUGAAUUAUCUGUGCAUUGAUGAGCAAUAUUGCAGGAGCAGAACUUUACGCUGUUAAUAAAGUUCUUAUAAUAAAGCUGAUGUUUUUUCCACAUCACCUACUCCCAGCUCUGACUCUGUGUCUUUGUACUAAAGGUGUUCUCUUCUCUCCAGUUAACGUUUUAGUGAAGUGCUGAAGCUACGAAAGUACAGCUUCAAAUUAUUUACUCACGGUAAAAUACAAAAAGC
ensembl:lncRNA